GAAAAUGCUGUGCAAUCUUUCCUACUGGGAUCACACUCCUGGCAGAUACUGUUGAUCAAUCAUAUCCUUGAAGGCCAUUCCUUUUUGCAUGGUCCAUUUUUUCCCCUGGCAUCAAAUUAUUUGUUCUGUAAAUCGUCCUAGGUUGUAGGGUUUAAUAUUGUCUAUUACUUGCUCCCGUCAAAUUAUUUUGUUGUACUGCAACCUUUUACUAAUUAAUAUACAUGUACGGAC
rnacentral:misc_RNA from 1 species